rnacentral:rRNA from 1 species
UACACCCACUAUCCGCCCGGGAACUACGAGCAAAAGCUUAAAACCCAAAGGACUUGGCGGUGCUUUAGAUCCACCUAGAGGAGCCUGUUCUAGAACCGAUAACCCCCGUUCAACCUCACCCUUCCUUGUUUUUCCCGCCUAUAUACCGCCGUCGUCAGCUUACCCUCUGAAGGUCUAAUAGUAAGCAAGACUGGUACAACCUAAAACGUCAGGUCGAGGUGUAGCGUAUGGAAGGGGAAGAAAUGGGCUACAUUCGCUACUACAGCGAACACGGAAGGUGCACUGAAACGUACACCCGAAGGAGGAUUUAGCAGUAAGCAGGAAAUAGAGCGUCCCGCUGAAAUCGGCCCUGAAGCGCGCACACACCGCCCGUCACUCUCCCCGAAAACACCUACUCAGUUAAUUAAAACCUAAUAAUCAUAGAGGGGAGGCAAGUCGUAACAUGGUAAGUGUACCGGAAGGUGCACUUGGAAAAAU